rnacentral:rRNA from 1 species
UUGAACGCUGGCGGCAUGCCUUACACAUGCAAGUCGAACGGCAGCACGGGGGCAACCCUGGUGGCGAGUGGCGAACGGGUGAGUAAUACAUCGGAACGUGCCCUGAAGUGGGGGAUAACGUAGCGAAAGUUACGCUAAUACCGCAUAUUCUGUGAGCAGGAAAGCAGGGGAUCGCAAGACCUUGCGCUUUAGGAGCGGCCGAUGUCGGAUUAGCUAGUUGGUGAGGUAAAGGCUCACCAAGGCGACGAUCCGUAGCGGGUCUGAGAGGAUGAUCAGCCACACUGGAACUGAGACACGGUCCAGACUCCUACGGGAGGCAGCAGUGGGGAAUUUUGGACAAUGGGGGAAACCCUGAUCCAGCCAUUCCGCGUGAGUGAAGAAGGCCUUCGGGUUGUAAAGCUCUUUCAGGAGGGAAGAAACGGUUGCGGCUAAUACCCGCGACUAAUGACGGUACCUUCAGAAGAAGCACCGGCUAACUACGU